ACCAGAAGGAUCAAAAGGAAAAGAGGGCUCGUCCGGGAUUUGAACCCGGGACCUCUCGCACCCUAAGCGAGAAUCAUACCCCUAGACCAACGAGCCGCCACGUUCCAACGCUCCCUCUUGUCUUUCUAAGUAGGGUGCACGGCCCCGCGGCGCCGGCUCUGCGCAGCCUGGGUUUCCAGCCCGUCGCGCGUCUUCAGGCCCGCCGCAAGCUAACCGCCUGCCUCCGCAGGGUCGGACCCGGGACGUGGGGACGUUCCCCGUCCGCUGUGCAUUAGGGAAGUGUGCCUAUCUGCAGACGCGAAAGCGCGGGUUGACGCCGGACCCUGGAGCUGGGGCUGGAGCUGGGGCUGGAGCUGGGGCUGGAGCUCAGGAGAGCCGUUCGUCCCGGGCCGGGCGGCGGGGCCAGGUCCCGGACGUGGGGAUCGUCCCCGAUACCUGUGCAGGGCUCCCCAACGCGCGGGUCUGGCUGACACCAUCAGCAGCCGCAUUGCAUUAUGGCGCAGCCUGGGUCUCGGGGUUCCCGGACGUCUGGCUUUCUGGGAAGGUAACCUGACGUCGCGAGGCUGUGGCCCGAAAUUUCGGUCAGGGCUGGGUCACAUGUGCGAAUUCCGUCGUUUAGCUCCGGAACCCGGAUGGAACUCGCCAACUCUGGUUCCUGCAGGUGGGCCUUGCAGAAUGUGGGGUGCUUGGCACCUCUUACCGCGCUUCGCCUCUGCGACCAAGGGCCACGGCUUGCUUCUGGGCAACCUGAGAGGCCUCUGUGGGGAGCAGGGAUGCCAGACCCACCCAGAGAAACAGGGGGUUACCUGGAGCCCCUCCACCGUGUAACUCGGCCCCUGGGAAAUAGAGGCAAAAAGUUUGGGCUGCCCGCCUUUUGACAUAGGAGACAACGAGAUCUGCCCUCUCUCAUUGCUGGAGAGAGGGAGGGAGGAGGAGCUGCGAUCUCCCAACCGCACACAUGCCCUGGAUAGUGAAAGGACCCUCUGAAAUAGGAACGAAUAGCAUCCUCAUCACACCGAGGAGGAAAUGGAGGCACAUCACACCGAGGAGGAAAUGGAGGCACAGAGAGGUAAAGUUACUUGGCUAGGGUCCCCAGCUAGUAAGUGGCAGAGCUCUGGAAUCUAAGCUCCUCACAGGUAACCAACAGGAAGUCUCCAGCAGAGGGUCUGGCUCCCAGAAUGUGUUCCAGGCACGGCUGAGGAUAUGAUGAUGGCAGUUGCUAUUACCUCACCUGAAGCUGAGAUGAUGAAACGCGUUUUGGAAACGUACAAUCUGCUGUCUUGUCAAGAGGGAAAACUGAGUUAGCCGCAAAGGCAGCCUCAGUGUCUAAGACCCAAGGGCGGCCCGCGGGCCCUCAUCAUUCACGCAAUUUUCAAACCACAAUAUACUAUCUUGGUCUUCUGGAAACGUCCCAGUUUGCUGCAGGGAAGAGCGUGGGCUAGAACCUUAGUUUGGCCACUCAGGGGCUGUGUGACCUUGUACCGGUCACCUCACCUGUCUGCACCUCCUUUUCUUCAUCUGUGAAGUAGAUGGUGACAGUCUUAGCCUUGCAGGGUUCCUGUGAGGGUUGUGCCCUGCCCAGAGCAUGCAUGGAGCUGGCCAUCAAAAUGAGGCUUGCCCGCUCUCUUUCCCCCUCCCUGGGGCUACUUCCGUGGAAAGACCAGUUCUGGACCCAGAAAAAACUUGAAAGAAGAAAUAACUUCCCAAGUGCUCAAAAUGCAUUUAUCCUCCGGCCUCCCCGCCCUUUUCCAGAUCUUGAAAUAGCCACCCCAGCCAGGGGUUCUGGGGAGAAACACUGGCACCUGCUGCAUCCAGGCAGGGAGUUAAGUAACCUGUAAAGGGAAGAGUGUCCCCUGCGUGCCACCACCAUUGGCCAGGCCUCCGCAAUCAGCGCGAGCAUCUGAGCGUCCGCCUGCGGUGACGCAUUUUGGCCCAGACAUCUGAAGCUCGUUAGCUGUCUGCCCCCCGGGGGACUGACCCUGCUUGGUGAGAAUUAUCCCAGAGCCACAGAGGUGGAGCAAACGAAGACCAGCUGUUCCCUGAGGAAUAAGCCUUGACAGCAGAUCCUGGAAACAGCCUCAGACCGGAGGCUGGGAAGGCCUGGCGUCUCUUCCGGAACAGCACAGCUUCCGCCCAAAUGGAACUGUUUAAAUGCAGGAUAUAGCGGGGAAUACUCCCGGCUAGAAGCCCAGAGCCUGCAACCAGCCCUGCCCGGUCUGUGGAUCAACUGAAUGACCUUGGGCCGGUCCCUGCCCUCUCAGUUUCUCCCACUGUAAAAUGAAGACUUGAACUUGACCGAGUGUUUCCCCCACAGCCUUUAUCAGUCGGUCAGCUUGUUGUGGGCAAAGACCGUGCCCUCUCCUUAUUAAGUAGACCAUAGAAUUUAGAGUCAGAGGACAGGGCUCCAGCUCCCCGUCACUCCCUAGCUGUGUGACCGUGCACGGGGCACCACACCACUCUGUGCUCUGCUCCCCCAUAGAAAAACACAGGCCAGAGUGCUUGUCCUCUGUGUGUCCCACGGCUGUCAUAGAUCCCGCGAGAGGUGGACCUUAGAGACCUGUGAGCAACACAGGGCGAGAUGCUCUGCUGGGGUGUUACUCCAGGGUACCCCCUGCUUGCCCAGUGCCUGGCUCCAUCCUGGCUCAGGGGGUCUGGCCCAGGCUUGUAGAUGGAGCCUGUGCCUGCCCGCGGGCACACGGAGCUCUGGCAAGAGGAGUGUGUGGACCCUGGGCCCGGCCCACCGUAUGAAGUGUCAGUAACGUUGCCCAGAGGGCCUCGGGGCCCAUGACAUCAUGGACAGCAGUUUCCAUGUUGGAGCUCACAGAGCUAAGGCCAUUUUAAAAAAUAGCACUGCCUUUUUUCCUUUCUUUCUUUUUCCACUUUGGCUAUGACAUGGAAUGUGAGAGCAGCUAAACUAUUGCGGGAAGAAGAGGCUGGGUUCAUAGACUGACUCUGCUUUCUGGGGUCCUAAAAACAAUGCCAAACCUGGGAGGUCUGGCCCCUGCUUCCUCAUGCCCACCUUGACCCCCCUCCAGGCUGCCCUGACGGGACCAGGGGGGUGGCCAGUCAUGGUCUGCCUCUGGUUCCCAGGUAACCUUUCUGGACCUCAGCUUGCCAUUUGUUAUGGACUGGAUGUUCAUGCUCACACCCCCCAGCCCCAGCUUCCGAUGUUGGGUCCCUAUUCCCCAGUGCCGCCCCCUACAGUUUGAUGGUAUUUGGGGUAGGGCCUUUGGUAGAUAAUUAGAUGAGGGCAUGAAGGUGGGGUUCCCAUGACGAGAUUAGCGUCUUUAUAAGAGGCAGAGACAUCAGAGCUCACUUUCUCUGUCUCUCUCCCUGCGUGUGCACCAAUAGGGUGUGUGAGGACACAGUGAGAUGGUGGCCAUCUGCAAGCUGGGAGGUGAGCCCUCAGCAAGAACCAAUCUGUCAGCACCUUGAUCUGGGACUUCCCAGCAUCCAGAACUGUGAGGCGUAGAUGUCUGCUGUUUAGGCCAUCCAGUCUAGGGUAUUUUGUUCCAGCAGCCUGAGUGGACUGAGCCGCAUCUAUGAAACAAGGAAAAUAAUCCCUCCCCUAACUAUCGCUGAUGAGAAUAAUGCAAUAAUAGCUAACCAUUUA